AUGAGAGCCAAGCAGCUGCAGAGAUGGAGACAUUAUGGAACCUACUAGAACCCAGCCCCCGGGGCUGGCGGACCCCCGUGUGCCGCUGCCAUGGCUUUCGGGCUCCUGGGCUGCAUGGUGCUGUGUCUCCUGGGAGCAGGCCCCUUGGAGGCCAGAGUGACCCAGACCCCAAGAUACCUCAUCACAAGGACGGGAAGACAGUUGACGCUGCAUUGUUCUCAGGAUCUGACCAUGACGCUAUGUACUGGUAUCGACAAGACCCAGGUCUGGGUCCAAAGCUGAUCUCCCUUUCAAGGAACGUUGAUUUAACUGAAGAUGGAGAUGUCCCUGAAGGGUACACUGUCUCACGGAAAGAGAAGAAGAAAUUCCCCCUGACCGUGAAGUCGGCAGGCACCAACCAGACCUCUCUGUACCUCUGUGCCAGCAGUGUAUCCACAGCGCGGCUCAGCCAGCUGCUCUCUGCACAAAAAGGGUACCACAAGAGUGAGAAGUCUCCUUCCUGGGGGGCCCCACCCCAAGCAGGAGGAAAACUCCCUCCACCAUCAGUGCCCCUAGAAGCCCUUCCCUGACUUCCCAGC